rnacentral:rRNA from 1 species
UACGGAGGGGGCGAGCGUUAAUCGGAAUUACUGGGCGUAAAGCGUGCGCAGGCGGUGAGCUGUGUCCGAUGUGAAAGCCCCGGGCUUAACCUGGGAAUGGCAUUGGAAACUGGCUCGCUGGAGUGUGGCAGGGGGGGGUGGAAUUCCACGUGUAGCAGUGAAAUGCGUAGAGAUGUGGAGGAACACCGAUGGCGAAGGCAGCCCCCUGGGCCAACACUGACGCUCAGGCACGAAAGCGUGGGGAGCAAACAGG